UCUGCCUCCGCCGCCGCUCCGGGGCCGGGAACGGGCUUCGGGCUCCUCGCCUGCUCCGAAGCUGCUUUAGGGAUGAGGGUGGGUUGAUUUGUUUUGGGUAGUUCGGGGUUUUUUGAGGGGGGUGUGUAUAAAUCUGGGCUGGAGUUCCGCGGCUCCGUGCCCGGAGUUUGAUGCUCAGCUCUUGCGGUGCCACGGGCACACGCGGCCAGUGGGGGGGAAGGAGAAUAGAAAGCCAGAGGGGUAGAGACCCCCUUUUCUCCCUCCCCUCUCCCCCAAAAGCCACCUCUUUGAGCACCGUGCACCGGCAGAGCUGUCACUCGAGGCUGAGCUGACAGCUGGGGCCUCUCAAGGGAUUUGCUGCUGUAGAAAAUCCCUGUUAUCUCUGUACCAGAGGAGAUCACAUCUCCCAGACCUCCAGAUUUCCCACCAAACUGAGAAAUCCCCUCCCCAGGGAGGAGCUGCAGCCCCCACUGAGCCCCUAUCAUGGACCAUCCCUCGCAAGACCAAUUUUGGGAAUCCCAAUGGCUCUGCAAUUCCUGUCUCUGCACAGCUGUGGAGGUGGGAGCUCCCACGUCCUCUCCCUGCCCAGAUGGAAUCAUCUCCACCUUUUUCCCAUUUUGAGGCUUUGCCCCAUCAAGCCCAGCAGGAAAAGGGAACCAACAGCACAAAAACCAUCCUGGCUACCAGGUCAGUGGCCACCCAACCCCGCAGCUCCUCUGGAGGGACCAGGAGACACUGAGCUGCUCCAGCCCAGCCCAGAGCAGGUUUCUCACUGCGCUAAUUACUGCUAAUUGAGCCACUUGGCUAUCGGGGGGCCUUGCCCUGGCCGGGCUGAUAGAGUAUCAGGGAGAUAAAGAGCACUCAGCACAGGUAACACAGGGAAGUGUUGUCAGACCUGUGCUGGGACCUUCUGGCGGGGUUAUCUCUCCUUCCCCGAGCACAGGGCACCACAUUCCUAAGGGAAGCACUGUGACCCUGAGGAUCUGUGGAGAGCCUGAGCUUUUAGGAGGUGUCCUGUGGGAUUUUGGUGACUCAGGAGCUCAGCAAAGCAAGCUGGCAUUAAUUUCAGAGUAACUCUUUUAAAUUUCCUUAACAUGCAUUUUAUUCCUUUGGCUGGCUUUUGCUGUUGUUAAUUUAACACUGAGGAAACGAAACUUUAAACAUUUUUUUCCCCCUUUCUUCUUCCCUACAGAGAAAUAAAUUUUUUUUCUUUUAAAAAAUGCUGUCUCUCUCAGAACUUUUGUUAUUUUUCACCACCUCCACUGACCUACACAGAGUAGUUCAGCUCCUACACCAUCCUGAGCAUCAGGUAGGAGUUACUAACACCUACUUACCCAAGUGGAAACUUGGACAGGGUGACAUUGUUAUGCAGUUUGUUGUUUUGGUUUUUUUUUUAAAUUACUCUCAAUUGUAAAUAGGAAAUCAAAAUUACAGGAUAUUUUUGCAGCCAAGUCCGAGAAAAAUCUUUUGUGUGGGUGCAGUUCCUGGCUGUGGGUACAGCCACACAUCACACCUGGGAGGUGAAGCUCACAGGGCCACAGUCCCUGCCCACAGCAGCGCCUGUGUUUUGUCUCAGGGAUGUAAAAACUAACAAAACAUCACCACCUCUCUCCUGGAGGAGCCAACAGAGCGUGUCCAUGGCUAUCAAAUCAACGACAGGGCAACCACACACCUGAGAAGCUGCUGGGUCCUCUAACCCAAAGUUUAGGGUGUUUUCUACAUCAAGUAUCCCCAUUUUCUUCCUUGACGUACCUCAAUCAUCUGCUUCCCCUCUUACCCCUGUGCACUUUCAGUUUGGUUUGAGUUCCCAAAGUUUCUCAGCUUGUUACACAAAGCUCAUAACAAAGUCUGUGGCCAGCUCUUUCUUUGAUAAUUCCUUCCCCCCAUUUGUUUAUCUGAAGUCCUGAGCUUUGUUCCAGGCCCAAAACCAAAAGCCUUUCUACCCUGUUCUCCUCUUGACUUGUUGCAGAUGUAACGAAAUAAAUCUUCAGAAAGAACAAACCUUCACUUCCUCUCUCCCGUCUGAUUCGGUCACAAACCCCAGGAAAGAAAAAUAAAUCACAACCUGAGCUUGCCUGGUCUCGAAGGAUUCCUGGGCUGGUCCUGAGAGCCACCAUCCAAACUGGAUGUGUCCAUUCCUCUGGGCAAUCAGUGAACACAGACACCAAAAAGGACCUGAUGACCAUGAAAUCCUUGUUUUGAGCAUGGCCAAGGUGAAAAAACUUGUGAUGAGCCCAAAUUAAGGUUGGUGUGGUGGUUGAUGAGCACGACCAAGCUGGGGAUGCCUUCCUAGAGCUCGUCCUUGGCACUGGAAGGCGAUGUGUCCCUGGCUUGUCUCUCAGCCCCUCGUGUGGCUCUGCCUCUCUUUUCUCACCUGCCACCCCAACGAAUUUUAAAUCGCAGCCAGAAAAAUCAUGUUGGGUUUUUCUGAGCUGGCCAUAGCAGAGGUGGAAGUUUCCUCCAGAGUUUGUCCUUCUUCUGAGAGCUGUUUCCAUGUGAAACCUCUGUCGCUCUUCCAUCAACCAUCAGAUUCUCCCAGACACAACCCAGUCAUGCAGGACUGAACAAAUCACCAUUUUCAGCCCAUGAGCUGGAGAUCCCACGGAUUUCCAGAGCCCUCUUCACUCGGCAGCGCCCUGGGCUAGGAAUGGACAAUUGGGCACUGUCCCCUCCACGGGGACUGCAGACAAGUGGAGAAAAACUCCUUAGAAGUGGGGCUGCCUGUGUCUGCCUAACGAGGUCUUCACUUGGGUCUAAGUUAAAGCCAGGCUCAGCUUUAAGCUGGGAAAUACUGGAACUGUGUAAAAGGGAUGAUUUGAUUUACCAGAUACGAUCUGCCCAGUGGGUUUUGCUCUUCCAAGGGUGCUUGGGGGAAGAUGUGCAGAACCACAACAGCUGUCAGAAGAUUUUUGGGUUGUGUCCCUAGCCCCGACUUUCACUGAUGAACCGAGGGUUUUCUCUUUGUGUGUGUUUUGUUUUAAAUUUAAACAAGAGGUCUUUGCACACUCGACACAAUCCGUCCACUUAGCACUGAAGAAAGUGUAAUUAGACACUUGGAGAACUGGAAGAAAUUAACUCUGACCACAGCCUGUCACUCAGACUAUUACUUAAUAAUAUUUCCCAAAUGUGCAAAGUACUUAGUUCUAGAAUAACAGGAAAGAAGUGUAACUUCUCACCCAGCGCAAAGGCUUUGCCUCGGGAAGCGGGCGUGAAAAACUCGCCGGCCAGGAGAAGUUUUGCCACCUCCCAUCACCUGAGGGCUACCAGGGGAUGUGAAGGAUGUGAUUCAUGGUCCCCAAUCCCACGGCGCUGAAGGGCUGGAACGGAGUCAAGGGGAGUGACCGGCCCGAGGUGCUCGGAGCUGCGUGCAAGAUCUCCUUCAGCUUCCAACACGCCACGGAAACCGCGGAGAAAUUGCUGUUUUCCUUCUUCUCCAGCACCAGGCCGAGCCCUUGCCUCACCCCACGCUACAGAAGCCUGGCUAGAAAGAGAUUAUUGUGAUUUCUGCCCGUUUCUUUGCUGGCGACAAAAGGCCCCAUUCAUCCGGGCUAAUUUUGAGGGGAGAGCGAGGGGUAUCAGUAGCAUGAACUGGAUCUGAGCGUCUCGACCACAUUUGAGCAAGACCUGCUUGUUGGCCAGUCCAGCCCAGGGAAACAGAUAUCUUUCAUCUGGAGCUUUGGAGGGGAGCGUUUCUCUGAUUCUAAACAGAAGUAUCUUUGCUGGCCAGGGCAAGUUUUAAAAAGUCCUGACGAAGCAGGGCUGGGCCAUUUUCCCAGCAAAAAACAAGAGGCCAUUCAAAAAAAUGGGGGGAAAACGUUGUUCUCGUGUGUUUCUGCCUCAGGAACCAACACACCCAGCUUCACCUGACUAAAUUACCCCUCAGAUAUUCAAUAAGGCCGUGUCCAGGACAAUGAACCUCUUGCCUUGUUGCAAAACACUGAAAAAAAUGGAUUUUUUUAAUAAAAACAUCCAUGAUGCCUUAAAUGCUUAAGUUAUUAUGAAGCACAACUCUCAGGACUUCCCUGUGUCUGUGGGAAGAGCUACAAUGUAAUUGGUUAAAGCAGAACAUCAGUCUAUAAUUAAAAUAUAUGAGAUUGCCAAUUUCAAAAUAUUUAAGUGAUUUCAUCUGAAUUUAGGUGAAUGUAUCUCUCUGAGCAGCUCAUUUAAGAUGAUAUUUCUAUUUUCAGUGCAUGAAUUGGGCCCUGGGUAAAAGAAAAGGAUAAUUUUGAUGUCUUCUUUGUCUGGGGAAUGUUGGAGACACAGAGCUCAGACUUUAACAGAAUAUUCCAGUCCUGGGGAAAUCCGUGGUGAAUCCUGAAGUGACAUUCCAGAGGUGGAGUGGGAGGUGCCACAAAAUAAAAUUAAAUAAAAAAUAUCAUUACCAGGAAAAUCUGUCACCUCCUCAAUCACAGUGACAAUUUCAGCAGGGUUUUUAUACUCUGAGUAGGAAAAAUAAAUGGCUUUUGAGGCCACCACAGAUGGGUUCUGCAGGGACAAGUGACCAACGUGGCUUUGGAGUGUCCUGAAGCUCUGAAAACUCAGCCCAGAGCCCCAGAGCUGGAGACCAGCUGGGGUCUCUGUGAUCCAUCCCUGCCCCUCUCCCAGUCUGCAGCCACAGCCUCAGGGAUGAGAAAGGAGCUCAGCUGCAUCUUCACCAGGAAAAAAAACAGGGGAAUAUCCUGGCUCCAGUGCAAGGAGAAUAACUCUGAGCACGUUCUUCCGUCAGCACACAAAGUGUCUCAGGCCACCACGGCUGGGAGGUGCCUUUUCCUUGUCCCUUCCUGUCAUUUCUGCUGUUCCUCACAGGUAAAUUCUCUCUUUAGGAAGAGAUCCCUGCCCCAGGAGUUGGAUGGCUCCUCGAAUUGGCACAGCCAGAGGGCAGGGAUGGUUUUGGUGGGGUUAAUCUGCCCAGAAAUCCUGGAAUUCCCAGAGUCCCUGCAGGAGGGAGCGAGGCCCAGCCUUGUCUACAAAGCCGAGUGAGGGAUCUUCACUCAGAGGAUGAAAAUAAAUAAUACAAGAAGGCAAAGAUGAUAAUGUUGCUGUUGUAGCUGUAAUGAGACACAAAUGCUAUUUUGAUGGUUUUCUCUGAAAGAAAUACACAAAGCCCAAGCGAUUUAAUUAAAGAUCUCCCAGGCUUUGCAAUCAGCAUGGCCGCAGAUGAAGGGAAAUCAACUUUUAUGUGGCAGAACAUGAGCGGUUUUCCCAUUAAAAUAAAAAGAGAGAUGAGAAAAAAAUC